rnacentral:rRNA from 1 species
CCUACGGGGGGCAGCAGUGGGGAAUAUUGGACAAUGGGCGAAAGCCUGAUCCAGCCAUGCCGCGUGUGUGAAGAAGGCCUUCGGGUUGUAAAGCACUUUCAGUGGGGAAGAAAGCCUUGGGGCUAAUACCCUCGAGGAAGGACAUCACCCACAGAAUAAGCACCGGCUAACUCCGUGCCAGCAGCCGCGGUAAUACGGAGGGUGCGAGCGUUAAUCGGAAUUACUGGGCGUAAAGCGCGCGUAGGCGGUCUGAUAAGCCGGUUGUGAAAGCCCCGGGCUCAACCUGGGAACGGCAUCCGGAACUGUCAGGCUAGAGUGCAGGAGAGGAAGGUAGAAUUCCCUGUGUAGCGGUGAAAUGCGUAGAGAUCGGGAGGAAUACCAGUGGCGAAGGCGGCCUUCUGGACUGACACUGACGCUGAGGUGCGAAAGCGUGGGUAGCAAACAGGAUUAGAUACCCGAGUAGUC